rnacentral:rRNA from 1 species
CCUACGGGUGGCAGCAGUGAGGAAUAUUGGUCAAUGGGCGGAAGCCUGAACCAGCCAAGUCGCGUGAGGGAAUAAGGCCCUACGGGUCGUAAACCUCUUUUGCCGGGGAGCAAGUGCCGGGACGCGUCCCGGCCCGGAGAGUACCCGGAGAAAAAGCAUCGGCUAACUCCGUGCCAGCAGCCGCGGUAAUACGGGGGAUGCGAGCGUUAUCCGGAUUUAUGGGGCGUAAAGGGUGGGUAGAGGGCAUAGGAAGUCUGUUGUAAAAAUGCGGGGCUCAACCCAGUAGGGCAAAAGAUACUGGAAGGCUAGAGUAUGACAGAGGCAGGUGGAACGACAUGUGUAGCGGUGAAAUGCGUAAAUAUUUGUAAGAACACCAGUGGCGAAGGCGGCUUGCUGGGUCGAUACUGACAUUGAGGCACGAAAGCGUGGGGAGCAAACAGGAUUAGAUACCCGAGUAGUC